GAUGAACGCUAGCGGGAGGCUUAACACAUGCAAGUCGAGGGGCAUUUCUGAUCCCGAGCAAUCGGGAUUUGAAACGACCGGCGCACGGGUGAGUAACGCGUAUGCAACCUGCCCCGUACUGGAGGAUAGCUCUCGGAAACGGGAAUUAAUACUCCAUGAUGAUAUACUGGGGCAUCCCGGUAUAUUUAAAACUCCGGUGGUACGGGAUGGGCAUGCGUAACAUUAGCUAGUUGGUAGGGUAACGGCCUACCAAGGCUACGAUGUUUAGGGGGCCUGAGAGGGUGAUCCCCCACACUGGUACUGAGACACGGGCCAGACUCCUACGGGAGGCAGCAGUGAGGAAUAUUGGUCAAUGGGCGCAAGCCUGAACCAGCCAUCCCGCGUGCAGGAAGAAGGCGCUAUGCGUUGUAAACUGCUUUUGCAGGGGACGAAAACUCCGACGUGUCGGGGCUUGACUGUACCCUGUGAAUAAGCAUCGGCUAACGUCCGUGCCAGCAGCCGCGGUAAAACG
rnacentral:rRNA from 1 species